rnacentral:tRNA from 1 species
GCCUUCGUGGUGUAGUGGUCAGCAUGCUCGACGCGUAACCGAGAGGUCCGUGGUUCGAUUCCCUGUGAAGGUG